UUCUCUUUCUCUCUCAUACAUUUAGUGCAACUCACUGCAUGCAUGUGAGUGAUGAGUUUUUGCCAGGUAUUCCUUUCUUCUGGGGCAUUGGACAACUCAGAUUGGGCCACGUAAUUCAAGCGGAGUUUACUUUGGUGUCCCAGCAUAAACAAAAAAAUAAAUAGGCCAUUGAUAAGUGACUGCACAUUAUCGAUUGGCCCCCUCGAAGAGUAGUAUUUUGGGAGCACACAGAUUUGCAAGCAACCAGUUUUCAUGAUGGUAUGAGAUUCAGGGGGUACCCAGUUAGAUAACCAUUCAUUAACUUUUAUCAAAAACUUAUCUUGUGGUUUUGAUGGUCAGAUAGAUGCACCAAAUGAAUCAGUUUUACUACUGGAGAUUUGAUUCGUUUCUUAGCUGGGAAUGCACUCACUAUGUGUAGUGAUUCACUUUACAAGGUGGAUAUGAACUUGUGACCUCACUAAUUUGGAGGUUUGUAUAGCUUAGUGGUUUUCGUUAUCUCCCUCUAUGGCACACCAGGGUAUGGUCCACCAGUUAAUGAUGUGGGAUGAAAAUCAUAAAAGAUCAAUGUUCGAAUUUCAGCAAAGAGCUAAAGGUGGUAGUCGAUACACGGAUGUAUUUAGAAACAUACCGACAAUUUCAAGUUUGUGGAGAAGUAGAGAGGAAAAGGACAAUACUUAUGCAGUAAUGUGAAGGAGUCUAUCAAGUCUAAAGACUUUAAAGACUAUGGGGUAUGGGCAAUGAACCUUUUUGCAGGUAUGGUUGGAAUUUAACUAAGCAUGUUCUGGUUUGGAUUUGUUUUUUUACUUUCAAGCAUAAAUAAGAUUGAUAUAUUUUAAUAUUAUAUUA